UUCACAGUGGCUAAGUUCCGCC
rnacentral:ncRNA from 12 species